rnacentral:rRNA from 1 species
AUGCUUAACACAUGCAAGUCGAACGGAAACGAUGGAAGCUUGCUUCCAGGCGUCGAGUGGCGGACGGGUGAGUAAUGCUUGGGAAUCUGCCUAAUAGUGGGGGAAAACUCGGGGAAACUCGGGCUAAUACCGCAUAAUCUCUUCGGAGGAAAGGGGGCCUCUACAUGUAAGCUCUCGCUAAUAGAUGAGCCCAAGUCAGAUUAGCUUGUUGGUGAGGUAAAAGCUCACCAAGGCUACGAUCUGUAGCUGGUCUGAGAGGACGAUCAGCCACACUGGGACUGAGACACGGCCCAGACUCCUACGGGAGGCAGCAGUGGGGAAUAUUGCACAAUGGGCGCAAGCCUGAUGCAGCAAUGCCGCGUGUGUGAAGAAGGCUUUAGGGUUGUAAAGCACUUUCAAUAGAGAAGAAAAGCUUGGAAUUAAUAACUCCAAGUAUUGACGUAACCUAUAGAAGAAGCACCGGCUAAAUCCGUGCCAGCAGCCGCGGUAAUACGGAUGGUGCGAGCGUUAAUCGGAAUUACUGGGCGUAAAGCGUACGUAGGCUGUUUUAUAAGUCGGAUGUGAAAUCCCCGGGCUCAACCUGGGAACUGCAUCCGAAACUAUUUAACUAGAGUAUGGGAGAGGUAAGUAGAAUUUCCGGUGUAGCGGUGAAAUGCGUAGAUAUCGGAAGGAACACCAGUGG